GUAGGUGGCAAGCGUUGUCCGGAAUUAUUGGGCAUAAAGCGCGCGCAGGUGGUUCUUUAAGUCUGAUGUGAAAGCCCCCGGCUCAACCGGGGAGGGUCAUUGGAAACUGGGGAACUUGAGUGCAGGAGAGGAAAGUGGAAUUCCACGUGUAGCGGUGAAAUGCGUAGAUAUGUGGAGGAACACCAGUGGCGAAGGCGACUUUCUGGCCUGUAACUGACACUGAGGCGCGAAAGCGUGGGGAGCAAACAGGGAUUAGAUACCCUGGUAGUCCACGCCGUAAACGAUGAGUGCUAAGUGUUGGGGGGGUUUCCCGCCCCUCAGUGCUGCAGCUAACGCAUUAAGCACUCCGCCUGGGGAUACGGUCGCAAGACUG
rnacentral:rRNA from 1 species